GAGUGGCGGACGGGUGAGUAACACGUGGGUAACCUGCCCAGAAGCAGGGGAUAACACCUGGAAACAGAUGCUAAUACCGUAUAACAGAGAAAACCGCCUGGUUUUCUUUUAAAAGAUGGCUCUGCUAUCACUUCUGGAUGGACCCGCGGCGCAUUAGCUAGUUGGUGAGGUAACGGCUCACCAAGGCGAUGAUGCGUAGCCGACCUGAGAGGGUAAUCGGCCACAUUGGGACUGAGACACGGCCCAGACUCCUACGGGAGGCAGCAGUAGGGAAUCUUCCACAAUGGACGCAAGUCUGAUGGAGCAACGCCGCGUGAGUGAAGAAGGGUUUCGGCUCGUAAAGCUCUGUUGUUAAAGAAGAACGUGGGUGAGAGUAACUGUUCACCCAGUGACGGUAUUUAACCAGAAAGCCACGGCUAACUACGUGCCAGCAGCCGCGGUAAUACGUAGGUGGCAAGCGUUAUCCGGAUUUAUUGGGCGUAAAGCGAGCGCAGGCGGUCUUUUAAGUCUAAUGUGAAAGCCUUCGGCUCAACCGAAGAAGUGCAUUGGAAACUGGGAGACUUGAGUGCAGAAGAGGACAGUGGAACUCCAUGUGUAGCGGUGAAAUGCGUAGAUAUAUGGAAGAACACCAGUGGCGAAGGCGGCUGUCUGGUCUGUAACUGACGCUGAGGCUCGAAAGCAUGGGUAGCGAACAGGAUUAGAUACCCUGGUAGUCCAUGCCGUAAACGAUGAUUACUAAGUGUUGGAGGGUUUCCGCCCUUCAGUGCUGCAGCUAACGCAUUAAGUAAUCCGCCUGGGGAGUACGACCGCAAGGUUGAAACUCAAAAGAAUUGACGGGGGCCCGCACAAGCGGUGGAGCAUGUGGUUUAAUUCGAAGCUACGCGAAGAACCUUACCAGGUCUUGACAUCUUCUGCCAACCUAAGAGAUUAGGCGUUCCCUUCGGGGACAGAAUGACAGGUGGUGCAUGGUUGUCGUCAGCUCGUGUCGUGAGAUGUUGGGUUAAGUCCCGCAACGAGCGCAACCCUUAUUACUAGUUGCCAGCAUUCAGUUGGGCACUCUAGUGAGACUGCCGGUGACAAACCGGAGGAAGGUGGGGACGACGUCAAAUCAUCAUGCCCCUUAUGACCUGGGCUACACACGUGCUACAAUGGAUGGUACAACGAGUUGCGAAACCGCGAGGUUUAGCUAAUCUCUUAAAACCAUUCUCAGUUCGGACUGUAGGCUGCAACUCGCCUACACGAAGUCGGAAUCGCUAGUAAUCGCGGAUCAGCAUGCCGCGGUGAAUACGUUCCCGGGCCUUGUACACACCGCCCGUCACACCAUGAGAGUUUGUAACACCCAAAGCCGGUGGGGUAACCUUU
rnacentral:rRNA from 1 species